rnacentral:rRNA from 1 species
CAGUAGCCACGGUAAUACGUAGGGUGCGAGCGUUGUCCGGAAUUACUGGGCGUAAAGAGCUCGUAGGCGGUUUGUCGCGUCGUCUGUGAAAUUCUGCAGCUUAACUGUAGGCGUGCAGGCGAUACGGGCAGACUUGAGUACUACAGGGGAGACUGGAAUUCCUGGUGUAGCGGUGGAAUGCGCAGAUAUCAGGAGGAACACCGGUGGCGAAGGCGGGUCUCUGGGUAGUAACUGACGCUGAGAAGCGAAAGCGUGGGUAGCGAACAGGAUUAGAUACCCCGGUAGUCCCUGUCUCUUAUAC